UACAGAGGUCUCGAGCGUUAGGCGGAAUCACUGGGCUUAAAGCGUGUGUAGGCGGAUCGUUAAGUACCUUGUGAAAUCCCACGGCUUAACCGUGGAACUGCUUGGUAUACUGGCGGUCUUGAGCCAGCUAGGGGCUACCGGAACAAAUGGUGGAGCGGUGAAAUGCGUAGAUAUCAGGAGGAACACCUGUGGUGUAGACGGCUUACUGGACCAUUACUGACGCUGAGGCACGAAAGCGUGGGUAGCAAACAGG
rnacentral:rRNA from 1 species